CACCGGCGGCCCGAGUGGUGGCCACUAUUAUUGGGUCUAAAGGGUCCGUAGCCGGUUUGAUCAGUCUUCCGGGAAAUCUGACAGCUCAACUGUUAGGCUUCCGGGGGAUACUGUCAGACUUGGGACCGGGAGAGGUAAGAGGUACUACGGGGGUAGGAGUGAAAUCUUGUAAUCCUUGUGGGACCACCAGUGGCGAAGGCGUCUUACCAGAACGGGUCCGACGGUGAGGGACGAAAGCUGGGGGCACGAACCGGAUUAGAUACCCGGGUAGUCCCAGCCGUAAACGAUGCUCGCUAGGUGUCUGGGAUGGUGCGACCGUUUCAGGUGCCGCAGGGAAGCCGUGAAGCGAGCCACCUGGGAAGUACGGCCGCAAGGCUGAAACUUAAAGGAAUUGGCGGGGGAGCACUACAACGGGUGGAGCCUGCGGUUU
rnacentral:rRNA from 1 species